ensembl:misc_RNA Metazoa_SRP Metazoan signal recognition particle RNA
GCUGGGCGUGGUGGUGUGUGCCUGUAGUCCCAGCUACUCAGGACCGCUUGAGUUCAGGAGUUCUGGGCUAUAGCGCACUAUGCCAGCUGGGUGUCCGCACUAAGUUUGGCAUCAAUAUAUGGUACCUCCUUGGAGCAGGGGAGGGGCCCACCAGGUUGCCUAAGGAGGGGUAAACCAGCCCAGGUCGGAAACGGAGGGGGUCAAAACUCUCAUGCUGAUCAGCAGUGAGAUCAUGCCUGUGAAUAGCCACUGCACUCCAGCCUGGGCUACAAAGCAAGAU